rnacentral:misc_RNA from 1 species
GAUGAAGAACGUAGCGAAAUGCGAUAAGUAAUGUGAAUUGCAGAAUUCAGUGAAUCAUCGAAUCUUUGAACGCACAUUGCGCCCGUCAGUAUUCUGGCGGGCAUGCCUGUUCGAGCGUCAUUACGCCCCUCAAGUCCCCUGUGGACUUGGUGUUGGGGAUCGGCGAGGCUGGUUUUCCAGCACAGCCGUCCCUUAAAUUAAUUGGCGGUCUCGCCGUGGCCCUCCUCUGCGCAGUAGUAAAACACUCGCAACAGGAGCCCGGCGCGGUCCACUGCCGUAAAACCCCCCAACUUCUGAACGUUGACCUCGAAUCAUGUAGGACUACCCGCUGAACUUAAGCAUAUCAAUAAGCGGAGGA